UACGUAGGUGGCAAGCGUUGUCCGGAAUCACUGGGCGUAAAGCGCGCGCAGGCGGCCGUUUAAGUCUGGGGUGAAAGCCCGGAGCUCAACUCCGGGACUGCCUUGGAUACUGGAUGGCUUGAGCAUUGGAGAGGCAAGGGGAAUUCCACGUGUAGCGGUGAAAUGCGUAGAUAUGUGGAGGAACACCAGUGGCGAAGGCGCCUUGCUGGCCAAUUGCUGACGCUGAGGCGCGAAAGUGUGGGGAGCAAAC
rnacentral:rRNA from 1 species